UCAAGUAAUUAAGUGCAUGUGGUGGAUGCCUUGGCAGUCAGAGGCGAUGAAAGACGUGAUAGCCUGCGAAAAGCUCCGGGGAGGCGGCAAAUAUCCUUUGAUCCGGAGAUGUCUGAAUGGGGGAACCCACCUACUUUAAGGUAGGUAUUGCAACAUGAAUACAUAGUGUUGCAAGGCGAACGAGGGGAAGUGAAACAUCUCAGUACCCUUAGGAAAAGAAAUCAAUUGAGAUUCCCUCAGUAGCGGCGAGCGAACGGGGAUCAGCCCAUUAAGUUAUGUGUGUUUUAGUGGAACGCUCUGGGAAGUGCGAACGUAGAGGGUGAUAUUCCCGUACACGAAAGGGCACACAUAAUGAUGACGAGUAGGGCGAGGCACGUGAAACCUUGUCUGAAUAUGGGGGGACCAUCCUCCAAGGCUAAAUACUCCUGACUGACCGAUAGUGAACCAGUACCGUGAGGGAAAGGCGAAAAGAACCCCUGUGAGGGGAGUGAAAUAGAUCCUGAAACCGCAUGCAUACAAGCAGUGGGAGCACCUUCGUGGUGUGACUGCGUACCUUUUGUAUAAUGGGUCAGCGACUUAUAUUCAGUAGCGAGGUUAACCGUAUAGGGGAGCCGUAGAGAAAUCGAGUCUUAAUAGGGCGUUUAGUUGCUGGGUAUAGACCCGAAACCAGGCGAUCUAUCCAUGAGCAGGUUGAAGGUUGGGUAACACUAACUGGAGGACCGAACCCACUGUCGUUGAAAAGCCAGGGGAUGACUUGUGGAUAGGGGUGAAAGGCUAAUCAAGCCUGGUGAUAGCUGGUUCUCCCCGAAAGCUAUUUAGGUAGCGCCUCGGACGAAUACCAUAGGGGGUAGAGCACUGUUUCGGCUAGGGGGUCAUCCCGACUUACCAAACCGAUGCAAACUCCGAAUACCUAUGAGUACUAUCCGGGAGACAGACUGCGGGUGCUAACGUCCGUAGUCAAGAGGAAAACAAUCCAGACCGCCAGCUAAGGCCCCAAAAUCAUAGUUAAGUGGGAAACGAUGUGGGAAGGCAUAGACAGCUAGGAGGUUGGCUUAGAAGCAGCCACCCUUUAAAGAAAGCGUAAUAGCUCACUAGUCGAGUCGGCCUGCGCGGAAGAUGUAACGGGGCUAAAACUAUGUGCCGAAGCUGCGGAUGUAUACUUUGUAUACGUGGUAGGGGAGCGUUCUGUAAGCCGAUGAAGGUGUGUUGAGAAGCAUGCUGGAGGUAUCAGAAGUGCGAAUGCUGACGUGAGUAACGACAAAACGGGUGAAAAACCCGUUCGCCGAAAGACCAAGGGUUCCAGUCCAACGUUAAUCGGGGCUGGGUGAGUCGACCCCUAAGGCGAGGCCGAAAGGCGUAGUCGAUGGGAAAAUGGUUAAUAUUCCAUUACUUCUGUGUAAUGCGAUGAGAGGACGGAGAAGGCUAAAUCAGCCUGGCGUUGGUUGUCCAGGUGAAAGGAUGUAGGCAUGUAUCUUAGGCAAAUCCGGGGUACUCUAUGCUGAGAUCUGAUAGCAAGCUGUACUUGUACAGCGAAGUGGUUGAUGCCAUGCUUCCAGGAAAAGUCUCUAAGCUUCAGUUACACAGGAAUCGUACCCGAAACCGACACAGGUGGUCAGGUCGAGUAGACCAAGGCGCUUGAGAGAACUCUGCUGAAGGAACUAGGCAAAAUGGUACCGUAACUUCGGGAGAAGGUACGCUGUUGUUGGUGAUGGAACUCGCUUCCUGAGCUGACGACAGCCGCAGAAACCAGGCCGCUGCAACUGUUUAUUAAAAACAUAGCACUCUGCAAACACGAAAGUGGACGUAUAGGGUGUGAUGCCUGCCCGGUGCUGGAAGGUUAAUUGAUGGGGUUAGCGUAAGCGAAGCUCUUGAUCGAAGCCCCAGUAAACGGCGGCCGUAACUAUAACGGUCCUAAGGUAGCGAAAUUCCUUGUCGGGUAAGUUCCGACCUGCACGAAUGGCAUAAUGAUGGCGGCGCUGUCUCCAGCAGAGGCUCAGUGAAAUCGAAAUCGCUGUGAAGAUGCAGUGUACCCGCGGCUAGACGGAAAGACCCCGUGAACCUUUACUGCAGCUUGACACUGAACUUUGACCUUACUUGUGUAGGAUAGGUGGGAGGCUUUGAAGCUGGAACGCUAGUUCCAGUGGAGCCGUCCUUGAAAUACCACCCUGGUAAUGUUGAGGUUCUAACUCUGUCCCGUGAUCCGGGACGAGGACCGUGUCUGGUGGGUAGUUUGACUGGGGCGGUCUCCUCCUAAAGAGUAACGGAGGAGUACGAAGGUGCGCUCAGCGUGGUCGGAAAUCACGCGUAGAGUAUAAAGGCAAAAGCGCGCUUAACUGCGAGACCCACAAGUCGAGCAGGUACGAAAGUAGGUCUUAGUGAUCCGGUGGUUCUGUAUGGAAGGGCCAUCGCUCAACGGAUAAAAGGUACUCUGGGGAUAACAGGCUGAUACCGCCCAAGAGUUCAUAUCGACGGCGGUGUUUGGCACCUCGAUGUCGGCUCAUCUCAUCCUGGGGCUGAAGCAGGUCCCAAGGGUAUGGCUGUUCGCCAUUUAAAGAGGUACGCGAGCUGGGUUUAGAACGUCGUGAGACAGUUCGGUCCCUAUCUACCGUGGGCGCUGGAAAUUUGAGAGGAUCUGCUCCUAGUACGAGAGGACCAGAGUGGACGAACCUCUGGUGUACCGGUUGUGACGCCAGUCGCAUCGCCGGGUAGCUAUGUUGGAAGGGAUAACCGCUGAAAGCAUCUAAGCGGGAAGCCUACCUCAAGAUAAGAUUUCCCUAGGACUUUAUGUCCUCUAAAGAGCCGUUCGAGACUAGGACGUUGAUAGGUUGGAUGUGGAAGCAUAGUGAUAUGUGAAGCUGACCAAUACUAAUUGCUCGUGAGGCUUGACUAU
rnacentral:rRNA from 1 species